UCUUGGUCAUUUAGAGGAAGUAAAAGUCGUAACAAGGUUUCCGUAGGUGAACCUGCGGAAGGAUCAUUAUCGUACAAAAUGUGUGAGGCAUGCAAGGGCUGUCGCUGACUUUUUAAUCACAAAAAGUCGUGCACGCCGGAGCGUGUCCUCUCGCAUAAAAUCCAUCUCACCCUUUUGUGCACCACCGCGUGGGCACCCUUUGGGAUCGAACCGAUCCAGGAAGGCGCUUGCGUUUUCACACAAACCCCCUUAUAAAAGUGUAGAAUGACCCCAUUUUUGCGAUAACACGCAAUCAAUACAACUUUCAACAACGGAUCUCUUGGCUCUCGCAUCGAUGAGGAACGCAGCGAAAUGCGAUACGUAAUGUGAAUUGCAGAAUUCAGUGAAUCAUCGAAUCUUUGAACGCACCUUGCGCCCCUUGGUAUUCCGAGGGGCACACCCGUUUGAGUGUCGUGAAAAUCUCAACCUCCUCGGUUUCUUCUGGACGCCGAAGGAGGCUUGGACUUUGGAGGCCUUUGCUGGCGUCUCUCGCCAGCUCCUCUCAAAUGAAUUAGCGGGGUCCUCUUUGCCGAUCCUCGACGUGUGAUAAGAUGUUUCCAUGUCUUGGUUUCUGGCUCUGUCGCCUUUGGGACCCGCUUCUAACCGUCUCAAGUCGAAACAACGUUUGAGCGUGUCUCCCUUCUCGGGAAACACCCUCGAGCCCACGAACCCUUGACCUCAAAUCGGGUGAGACUACCCGCUGAACUUAAGCAUAUCAAUAAGCGGAGGA
rnacentral:rRNA from 1 species